UACAGAGGUCCCAAGCGUUACUGGGAAUCACUGGGUUUAAAGGGUGCGUAGGUGGUCCGUUAAGUCAGUUGUGAAAUCCCCGGGCUCAACCCGGGAACUGCUUCUGAUACUGGCGGACUUGAGGCCAGUAGGGGUCACUAGAACUGACGGUGGAGCGGUGAAAUGCGUAGAUAUCGUCAGGAAUGCCGGUGGCGAAGGCGGCGCUCUGGAACGUUUCUGACACUGAGGCUCGAAAGCGUGGGGAGCAAACAGG
rnacentral:rRNA from 1 species